GAUGAACGCUGGCGGCGUGCCUAAUACAUGCAAGUCGAGCGAACAGACGAGGAGCUUGCUCCUCUGACGUUAGCGGCGGACGGGUGAGUAACACGUGGAUAACCUACCUAUAAGACUGGGAUAACUUCGGGAAACCGGAGCUAAUACCGGAUAAUAUAUUGAACCGCAUGGUUCAAUAGUGAAAGACGGUUUUGCUGUCACUUAUAGAUGGAUCCGCGCCGCAUUAGCUAGUUGGUAAGGUAACGGCUUACCAAGGCAACGAUGCGUAGCCGACCUGAGAGGGUGAUCGGCCACACUGGAACUGAGACACGGUCCAGACUCCUACGGGAGGCAGCAGUAGGGAAUCUUCCGCAAUGGGCGAAAGCCUGACGGAGCAACGCCGCGUGAGUGAUGAAGGUCUUCGGAUCGUAAAACGCUGUUAGUAGGGAAGAACAAAUGUGUAAGUAACUAUGCACGUCUUGACGGUACCUAAUCAGAAAGCCACGGCUAACUACGUG
rnacentral:rRNA from 1 species